rnacentral:tRNA from 1 species
GGUCUUAUUUAAAUUAUAGAAUGCAAUUCUAUAGAAGUAAUUAAAUUUAAUUACUAAGGCCU